AGCGUAAUAGCUCACUGGUCGAGUCGGCCUGCGCGGAAGAUGUAACGGGGCUAAACCAUGCACCGAAGCUGCGGCAGCGACACUGUGUGUUGUUGGGUAGGGGAGCGUUCUGUAAGCCUGUGAAGGUGUACUGUGAGGUAUGCUGGAGGUAUCAGAAGUGCGAAUGCUGACAUAAGUAACGAUAAAGCGGGUGAAAAGCCCGCUCGCCGGAAGACCAAGGGUUCCUGUCCAACGUUAAUCGGGGCAGGGUGAGUCGA
rnacentral:rRNA from 1 species